rnacentral:rRNA from 1 species
GACAGAGGGUGCGAACGUUGUUCGGAAUUACUGGGCGUAAAGCGCGUGUAGGCGGCAGCGUGUGUCGGGCGUGAAAUCCCACGGCUCAACCGUGGAAGUGCACUCGAAACUGCGCAGCUAGAGUCCUGGAGAGGAAGGUGGAAUGCUUGGUGUAGAGGUGAAAUUCGUAGAUAUCAAGCGGGACACCGGUGGCGAAGGCGGCCUUCUGGACAGUGACUGACGCUGAGACGGCGAAAGCGGUGGGGAGCAAACAGGG